UGGGGGAUAUUGCACAAUGGGGGAAACCCUGAUGCAGCGACGCCGCGUGUGGGAAGACGGUCCUCUGGAUUGUAAACCACUGUCCCCAGGGACGAAUCUGCCGGUACCUGGGGAGGAAGCUCCGGCUAACUACGUUACCGCAGCCGCGGUAAUACGUAGGGAGCGAGCGUUGUCCGGAAUUACUGGGUGUAAAGGGAGCGUAGGCGGGAUGGCAAGUUGGGUGUUAAAUCUACCGGCUCAACUGGUAGUCGCACUCAAAACUGCCGUUCUUGAGUGAAGUAGAGGCAGGCGGAAUUCCUAGUGUAGCGGUGAAAUGCGUAGAUAUUAGGAGGAACACCAGUGGCGAAGGCGGCCUGCUGGGCUUUUACUGACGCUGAGGCUCGAAAGUGUGGGGAGCAAACAGG
rnacentral:rRNA from 1 species